AGUUUUCAUUUUUAUACAUGUGUAGUUGUGUACUGCAGAUGCUUGUACUAAUGUUAGUGUUUUUAAUUUCCAAUUUAUCAAAAUUUAUAUCCGUGUAGCCUUCCUCUCUUGUUUUGUCAGUGUAUGAUUGCUUUAACAUUUUUAAGUAUGCAAACACAACACAAAGAACAGCUGACCAUAAUUUGUUUACAAACAUUAAACAACAACUAACAGGAACUAAUAAUUAGUUUUAAUUACAAUAGUAAAACAAUUGCAAUAUAUACACACAAGAAUAAAACAAUAUUGUACUUGAUAAACAUAAUUAAUCGGCAUGAUUGUGAAGUUUUUGUUUUCUAUAUAUAGAACGGUAGCUCUCUUUUUAUGUACAUCUCUACGGAGGGGACUCUGGUUUAUUUAUAAACGACACUUUUAGCAUAUUGAGACAGUGGAAUGUCUAAUGUUGGAUGAAGAGGAGUGAAUGUUGCCGACACAUUGGGACUAGUAACUGAUGCUUCAAAUUUAACAUUACUGGCUACUCCUUUUGUCUCCCUUUUGUCUGGUCUCUUUUCUGACUGUUUUUGACUCACUUGCGCAGUGAAACAGCCGUCCUUGAUAGUAUUGUAUGAUGGAGAGCCUGUAUCCUGGGUUGUGCAUUCCCUUGUAUUCAGGAGAUGCCUGGCAUGACUACCGGUGGAAGGUUCUGUAGUAUCUACUGGAGAGUUAAGGGACAACCCAAGAUGCUGCAACUUGUUUUCAUCAAUGGUGUCACUUUUACUGUCACCGUCAUCUGUUUUGCUGUGAUUGCUUGAGUGAGCCAUUUUCAGCUCACACUAUAGAUACUAUUAAAAAGGGGUAGGGCUAAGGACUUAGGCAGGCUUAUCUGAACACCUGUAAUCACUAUAAGUUGAUCUGAAGGAGGGGCUACCUAGCUGUUGUUAGUAUAGUUGCAUUUAAGGGCUCAUCAUAUGAUGAUGAUAGUAGUCAUAGUGGGGCGAGCCGAAUUUUAAUGCUUUAGCACAGAACUCGGUUCUCCAUCAUGCUGUGAAAGUGCAUUUAGCAAUAGAACUUUGAACUUGAUUGACAUCACAAGGAAAGUUGGCGCCACUAUGCAAGUUUGUGGUUAAUGAUAUAAUUCCCUUGAGGUUCCUUUGAUAAGUGACUUGCGUAUAUAGCUGAUUGAUCUAGUGUCUGGAAUCCCAAUCUGUUUGGAUGAGCAAGGGGCAGCUAAUAAAUUGAAGAUACUAAGUGUUUAUAAACUGGUUUGAUUUAGUGGAACGACCUGUCUACUCUAGCUAAUCUCAAUGGUGUUUGCCAUGUUUGUCCACUGCUAGUGAAAGGUCACUCUUGUGGCUGAUACCAAAUAAAUUAAGGAGUGACUCUAAG